GCCUGAGGGGAAGGACCGCCAAGUACGAAAGGAACGGCGGGACGCGGCCUCUGGUGUACCGGUUGUCCGACAGGGCAUCGCCGGGUAGCCACGCCGUAGGGGAUAACCGCUGAAGGCAUCUAAGCGGGAAGCCCCCCCCGAAUAAUAGGCGGCCGUUCCGGCCUUCCUCCGGGAGGGCCGGACGAGGGCUCCGGAAGAACACCGGGUUGAUAGACGCCGGGUGUAAGCGGGAAGGGCGACCGACCCGUUCAGCCCAGGCGUACUAAUCGCCCGAGCU
rnacentral:rRNA from 1 species